rnacentral:lncRNA from 1 species
CCUAGACAUAUCCAUGGUAAGGUGUGCUUUUUCUAGUUAAUACCUAUGACUGUCCCUUUCUCUGGCCUAUAUUCUUCCAGAUUUGUCCUGUGGUUAAACAGGCCCUGACACAGACAACCAUCCAGACACUUGACACCAUCAAUUCCUUGCCUCCCAUAGGAACAUUGGGGACAAUUAAGUACACACUUGCUGCAUGUCUUGCAAUUACAGGCCAGACUGUGGGGCUCAACAUCAAUGUUGCUCUCCGACUGCUGGGAGGCCCUAUGGUUCGCAUACCAGCAAGCUCGACCCAGGUUGCCCUUCCAAAACUGAAAGAACACACGAUCUCCUUGGGCUUCCGUCAGUUCUUCCUGUCAUCUACCCUCUCCAUCCUCAUCAACAUUUCCCCACCUGUGUUUACCUGCACUCAGGAAAUGGAUCUUUCCUGGAGGCCAAAUUUGUGAUUUCUGGAUGUAGAUUGAUGAUCUCUCUCUGUCUGGACAGGUACUGACUGGGCUAGGGGACAAUGGUGAUUAGGAUCUGUCCCUGUUUGAGGGAGGAAGAGGUUUUAUUGACAUAUUAGAGUAACAGAUUUUCAUCCCAGAGUAAUCUGAG